rnacentral:lncRNA from 1 species
AACAGCUCAAAAUUAUCCUGGACGUUCUUUCUUCAAGCACUUUGUCCAAGAAUCCUGUCUCCCUUUGCAGCAGAGAACCUACCAGUGCUGUCUCCUACCAGAAGUCAAAGUGAGGUGUAUAAGGCCUGAGCUUAAAGAGUUGUGAGAGGAGCACCUGAGUGUCAUUGGUCGGAAUAAUCCUCCACGCGUCUGGAAGCAGCGAGAACACCGAGCCGCCGGAGAGCAGGCCAAGGCUGGUCGCCCUCCGUGAUGGGCAGCAGCGGAAAACCUUCAGCAGAAAGCGAAGAGUGAGGACAAACGUAGAGUCUUUCAAGCGAUCCUCAUCGUUCCAGUCUGUCUUCAGGAUUCUUGGGACUGGUUUCUAACCAGAUGACACAUCUGCCAGUAUAUCCAUUUCCCAGCAUAGACUUUGGCCAUUAAUUUGCAAA